rnacentral:lncRNA from 10 species
UCAAGUCAAACUCAACACUUCUCCUCUUGGCCUUUUCAGCGUGAGGAUGGCUCACACCAAAGUACACAAGCCAACAGACUGAAUCGCAGCUCUCUGUUUGAGCAGUGCCCACACAAAGCCUGCCCUCUGGAGUCCUCCUCCAGGCUCUACCCCGCCAUGGUAACCGCUGAAUUCGCCGGGCCAUGGUAGCAGGCCAAGUAUGUGCACAAUUGUCCUGGAGUCUCUUCCAGUGGCAGACGGUGUUUGAAUGUUGUGUACAUGUUUUCUUUCUUAUCCUGACAUAUUUAUACCCUAGUUUUGUUUUAUUUUGUUUUGUUUUGCUUGGUGGAGAAGCCAUGGGGUUAGGAGGUGACGGAGUGGCUGGGAGAGCCUUUGUAUCAGAUUGGUUAAGAAGGCCGAUCUACGGUUCCCAACAUUCUACCACCAAGGGCUAGGAGAGUCAUCUCCCUCCCGGAAACACACGUCAAUGGGCUUGGACGCAAUUUCAAGGCUGCAUGCCAACGUGAUCACGUGGCAUUUUGAUUCAGCUAUUAAGGAAGAAAACUGGGCUGCUCUGGAGCCGGGUGCGCUGGCUCAUACCUGAAAUCCCAGCACUUUGG